UUUUAAUAGUUAAACAUAUCAAAGCUUUGUACACGUUACGCCUAUUAUAUUCUAGUUAAUGUUACAUCAGCAAAAGUUACUAUAAUUUCUCAAUAUUUGGGAAAAUUGUGAACUUCGCAAAUAUUCCAACGAGAAAAUACGAAUGACUAUGUCAAAGACGUCAACAAAAGAAAAUAUACGCCCUUCCCCCUUGAAAAUCAUUUUUACAGCAAAAAGAAUAUUCAACGGU
rnacentral:lncRNA from 1 species